GGAAUUCAUGGGGCACAGCCAUGAGACACGCACCCCGAAACUGGGAGAUGCCCACCAACACGAUGUCCCCACCAACCCCUGUGUUACGUCCCGAUCUGAGCUCAUCCCCCCGUGCUGCACAUUCCCCUCCUGCAAUGAACUCAGAACGGAGGUGAAGCGCCGGCCCUGAAAGCUGCAGUUUCAAAGUUUGGUUCCCACUGGGAAGCGGUGGCAUCGCAUUCUCCCAGCCAAGAGCCACCAAGAGCCACAGAAGGAUGCACUGACCCCCCAGCCCGACGCAGGCAACCAGCAGCAAGAAAUAAAGCAGGCUUAAUUCUG